GGGCUUGUAGCUCAGUUGGUUAGAGCGCACGCCUGAUAAGCGUGAGGUCGGAAGUUCGAAUCUUCCCAGGCCCA
rnacentral:tRNA from 1 species